rnacentral:lncRNA from 1 species
GAGUUUUGAAAGAAAUGAAAACAGUUUUGAAUUUUGAUUAUUCACAAUUAGUUCCUUUAAUCCAGUCGAAUAUUUUUUUUGGCCAAGGAAUAAUGAGGGAGGACAUGUUGGAGGGACUAUUAAUGACAUAACUGAUCAAAAGGAAAACAAUUCCCGUAACCGUACACUAUUGAGAAUUAUGCUACCGCAUAUUAUCCCAGAAAAAUUAUAUAACUAACAUAUAUAAAUAUAGGGAUCCCUUCCAAGGCAGCCGGUUGCUAUGAAAACUGUGAAACACCUCCUUUUUGGCCAGUUGAUCAAUUUAUUGGAAGGCUGAGAUUGGAAUAUAUUAAUACCAAGCCGUGACAAACUCUACCGGUUUCUAUUUAAAUAAGAGGGGCCCACAUUUUAACAUAUUGUCAGUAUAGUUAAACAAAAUGAAUAUUUAAUAUUAAAAUAUUCCGGCCGGUACAAGUUGUACCGGCCUACUCUUUUUUUUACGCAUUAAUGCUUUAUCAAUUUUUAAUCAAAUCUAAAGAUAUUGCACAAAAUAUUAAAAUAUUAAAAUAUUUGAAAAUAUUCCGGC